rnacentral:lncRNA from 1 species
CCGGAGCGCCUGGGGUUGGCCAUUCUAUACAACCCCCCCAAGUUCUUCGAACCCUUCUGGAAGGUGCGCGCGUCUUCUGACUCCUGUUUCUUAAUCGUCUAAAAUGCUUAAUUAUCUGGAAAAAAUCUGAUUCUUUUACCUGAUUUGGGCCAAAAAAAAAAAUUCAACCACCAAGAUUGCCUGCCCCGAGAUUAUUCCAUGAAAAUAGCUCCAUCGUCCCAUGUAUUCCCCCCCCCCUCUGAGGCAUAUUUGGAAGCUGCUAANNNNNNNNNNNNNNNNNNNNCUGCUAAUUAUCUAGAAAAAAUCUGAUUCUUUUACCUGAUUUGGGCCAAAAAAAAAAAAAAAUUUACAACCACCAAGAUUGCCUGCCCCGAGAUUAUUCCAGAAAAACUAGCUCCAUCGUCCCAUUUAUUGCUACUCCCCGGAUGCACAUUUCAUGGGCUCCAACUAUUUCCGGAAAAGGCCUGCAUUUCUCGAC